rnacentral:lncRNA from 1 species
GAAAUAAACAUUGCAAGCAAAUAUAGAGAGGAGGCGAGCUGUUUGUGGUAAGUUGCUUAUGCCAUUUGUUGAGUAUGACUGGAAACCAAAAUGAAAUUUUAGUUUUAUUCAAAAAAUAAAAAUAAAAUCUCUGUUGAUACUUAAUAUAGCUGUGGUAAUUUCCUUGCAAGUCUUCAGCCUGUUGGCUCACAGUCUCUUUGCCAUUGAGAAACUUAUGCUCUAUCUUAAUGAAGACAGCAACUAGAAAUUAGCAGUUACUGGUGGUGGCUGUUAGAUCUACCUAUUUGCAUGGAUUUUUUUUAAUGACCAUCGG